AGUGAACGCUGGCGGUAGGCCUAACACAUGCAAGUCGAACGGCAGCAAAGUAAGAGCUUGCUCUUACGGGUGGCGAGUGGCGGACGGGUGAGGAAUACAUCGGAAUCUACUUUUUCGUGGGGGAUAACGUAGGGAAACUUACGCUAAUACCGCAUACGACCUACGGGUGAAAGCAGGGGAUCUUCGGACCUUGCGCGAUUGAAUGAGCCGAUGUCGGAUUAGCUAGUUGGCGGGGUAAAGGCCACCAAGGCGACGAUCCGUAGCUGGUCUGAGAGGAUGAUCAGCCACACUGGAACUGAGACACGGUCCAGACUCCUACGGGAGGCAGCAGUGGGGAAUAUUGGACAAUGGGCGCAAGCCUGAUCCAGCCAUACCGCGUGGGUGAAGAAGGCCUUCGGGUUGUAAAGCCCUUUUGUUGGGAAAGAAAAGCAGCAGGUUAAUACCCCGCUGUUCUGACGGUACCCAAAGAACAAGCACCGGCUAACUUCGUG
rnacentral:rRNA from 1 species